rnacentral:tRNA from 1 species
UGCAAGAUAGCUCAGUUAGUAGAGCACCUGACAGAGAUUCAGGGGACCCAGGUUCAAAUCCCUGUCUAGUCC